rnacentral:rRNA from 1 species
AGUAAUACAUCGGAACGUGUCCCGUAGUGGGGGAUAGCCCGGCGAAAGCCGGAUUAAUACCGCAUAUGCUCUACGGAGGAAAGUGGGGGACUCGCAAGGGCCUCACGCUAUGGGAGCGGCCGAUGUCCGAUUAGCUUGUUGGCGGGGUAAUGGCCCACCAAGGCGACGAUCGGUAGCUGGUCUGAGAGGAUGAUCAGCCACACUGGGGCUGAGACACGGCCCAG